rnacentral:lncRNA from 1 species
UUGCCUCCAUUGCUGCAGAGGGCUUACAGUACUUCAAAGACUAGUUACUCUAUAAUAGGAGGAAUCGGUUAAGUUUGCUGCUAUAUGGACCAAGAUAAAAGGAGUCUUCUCCCUACUAGUAGAUGCUUAACUUAUCCUCCCACAUUAAGUUUGUUGAUGUCCCUUUAAUGGCAUCUUUCUUGUAUCUAUGUUCACUCUAUUGCGAUGUUUUUUUAGGUUCUUAAACACUGUAAAACAUGCAAGUCCUCUUCCUUUCUGAAUAAAAUUUGGUGGCUCUCUUUAGCAUACUUUAACCUCAAAAAAAAAAAAAGAACAUCAUCAACUCUCUACAACUUGUUGAGGUAUACCUCAACCAUCUCAACUGCACAUAGUCAAAUCAUAGAGAAAUUCAUAUUCUUGACAAGCUAGAUAGAUGCAUCAUCUUCCUAGAGUGGCUUUCCAAAUUUUCUCUCACUGCUAUCCACCCACUAGCCAAAACAACAUUAGAUCACUGGCCUUUGUUUUUGGAGUUUACAAGCAAACAACAAAUCAAAAAACCUUUUAAAUUUGAAACUUUUGGCUCACUGUAUUGAGUUUUGAUGAUUUGAUCAAAAUGUGGUAGCACUUCAAAUCAAAAGUAAGGUCUUUCUGAUAACUCUCAAAGGCCUUGCAAGCUUACAUAGCCUUAAGGACCCUGUUCUCAACUGAAGCUGCCCUCUACUUCUCUGCCUCGGUAGUGUGGAGUCAAGCCAUCUUGCAUUGAGCCUUCAAGUUCUUUAGCUCUACAACAAUGGCCUUCAACUUGGCCCCCAACUCAUCCAUUUUAUUCUUCUCCUCCUCUCGCUCCUGCUCAAUCUUCCAAGCAUGCUAGUGGAGUUGGUGGAACCAUCACAAACCAGCACAGUACAAGUAGCAUUUAACAGAGAAGACCAUUUAUCAACAAUUAAGUAUCUCAAUAG